GUAGGGAAUCUUGCGCAAUGGGCGAAAGCCUGACGCAGCCAUGCCGCGUGAAUGAUGAAGGUCUUAGGAUUGUAAAAUUCUUUCACCGGGGGCGAUAAUGACGGUACCCGGAGAAGAAGCCCCGGCUAACUUCGUGCCAGCAGCCGCGGUAAUACGAAGGGGGCUAGCGUUGCUCGGAAUUACUGGGCGUAAAGGGAGCGUAGGCGGAUAGUUUAGUCAGAGGUGAAAGCCCAGGGCUCAACCUUGGAAUUGCCUUUGAUACUGGCUAUCUUGAGUAUGGAAGAGGUAUGUGGAACUCCGAGUGUAGAGGUGAAAUUCGUAGAUAUUCGGAAGAACACCAGUGGCGAAGGCGACAUACUGGUCCAUUACUGACGCUGAGGCUCGAAAGCGUGGGGAGCAAACAGGAUUAGAUACCCUAGUAGUCC
rnacentral:rRNA from 1 species